GAGGUAGCCAACACUGUUUAUAUAUAUAUAUAUAUAUUAAUUGGGGUAGCCCCCAAAAUAUUGGGACAUAUAAAAAAAGACAACUCUGUUUCGCAGAGUAGCUGUUGACAUUAUAGUUGCACAGGAACGCUGUUGACUCAAGAGAACCUCUGGCAAAUCGCACAUCCCUGUGGCGGUGACUUUGCAUGCGGAUGUCAUCCAUAUCAACUUUCGAUGCCAAUUUCUGUGCCUACCAUGGUGACCACGGGUAAUGGGAAAUCAGGGUUCCAUUCCAUACAGGGACCCUGAGAAAUGGCUACCACAUGCAAGGAAGGCAGCAGGCGCGCAAAUUACCCACUCCCGACGCGGGAAAGUAG
rnacentral:rRNA from 1 species